UGGCAAACGUCUAAUGACACAGAGCCACCAUUGCCAAUUUCACCACUGUCUUUCACCAAGUUGAUUCAUUUUGAACUGGCUCCAGCAAUCUACUCAGAGUUGACCUCAGAGCAAAAAAUUGAAGAAGCUGCUAAAGAAUGUGCUUGACUAAAACAAGGCAAUAAGCAAAAGGAAGUCAUAGCAUCCAGAAAAUGGGAUCCAUCAUGCGCACAAAGAAAAGGUGAAGAAAAUUUCCAGGAUGUUCAGAACCCACCAAAAACGAAAGAUUCUGGUCCAGAUCAGAAGAGAGGGAAACACUCUGAAAAAGUCCCUCAAAUACAAAAUUAAACAGAGUUUAAAUGAUGUGCUUGACCACAAUAAAAGGCUUCUUGCUCUGUAA